UACGUAGGGUGCGAGCGUUAAUCGGAAUUACUGGGCGUAAAGCGUGCGCAGGCGGUUCGUUAUGUCCGCUGUGAAAGCCCCGAGCUCAACUUGGGAAUGGCAUUGGAAACUGGCGGGCUGGAGUGUGGCAGAGGGGGGUGGAAUUCCACGUGUAGCAGUGAAAUGCGUAGAGAUGUGGAGGAACACCGAUGGCGAAGGCAGCCCCCUGGGCCAACACUGACGCUCAGGCACGAAAGCGUGGGGAGCAAACAGG
rnacentral:rRNA from 1 species